CACCCACGUUAUAAUUAAAAUUUAAAAUCCAACAACUUGUCUUCUAGUUCCCGGUUGCAUCAUCCAAGAGCUCUUUGAUAUUGACACCCCUCAAAGCUUUCCAUUGGCUUGGGAAAAAAUUAUUCUAGAAGUACUUGAAUUCUGUCACCCAUGGUAUCAUUAAAAUCCAACAACAACUUGCCUCCUACUUCUCCAGCUGCAUCAUCCAAGAGCUCUUUGAUGUUCACACCCCCCAAAGCUGGAACAAUAUUUGUGAUACCUUCUAAGAA
rnacentral:misc_RNA from 1 species